rnacentral:rRNA from 1 species
GAUGAACGCUGGCGGCGUGCCUAAUACAUGCAAGUCGAGCGAACAGACGAGGAGCUUGCUCCUCUGACGUUAGCGGCGGACGGGUGAGUAACACGUGGAUAACCUACCUAUAAGACUGGGAUAACUUCGGGAAACCGGAGCUAAUACCGGAUAAUAUAUUGAACCGCAUGGUUCAAUAGUGAAAGACGGUUUUGCUGUCACUUAUAGAUGGAUCCGCGCCGCAUUAUCUAGUUGGUAAGGUAACGGCUUACCAAGGCAACGAUGCGUAGCCGACCUGGGAGGGUGAUCGGCCACACUGGAACUGAGACACGGUCCAGACUCCUACGGGAGGCAGCAGUAGGGAAUCUUCCGCAAUGGGCGAAAGCCUGACGGAGCAACGCCGCGUGAGUGAUGAAGGUCUUCGGAUCGUAAAACUCUGUUAUUAGGGAAGAACAAAUGUGUAAGUAACUAUGCACGUCUUGACGGUACCUAAUCAGAAAGCCACGGCUAACUACGUG